GAUGAACGCUGGCGGCGUGCCUAAUACAUGCAAGUCGAGCGAACGGACGAGAAGCUUGCUUCUCUGAUGUUAGCGGCGGACGGGUGAGUAACACGUGGAUCACCUACCUAUAAUACUGGGAUAACUUCGGGAAACCGGAGCUAAUACCGGAUGAUAUUUUGAACCGCAUGGUUCAAAAGUUAAAGACGGUCUUGCUGUCACUUAUAGCUGUAUCCGCGCUUCAUUAUCUAGUUGGUAAGGUAACGGCUUACCAAGGCAACGAUGCAUAGCCGACCUGAGAGGGGGAUAGGCAACACGGGAACGGAAACAGGGUCAAGACGCCUAAGGGAGGCAGCAGAAGGGAAUCUUAGGCAAUGGGCGAAAGCAUGACGGAGCAACGCCGCGUGAGUGAUGAAGGUCUUGGGAUCGUAAAACUCUGUUAUGAGGGAAGAACAGAUGUGGAAGUAAAUGUGCACAUAGUGACGGUACCUAAUCAGAAAGCCACGGCUAACUACGUG
rnacentral:rRNA from 1 species